rnacentral:rRNA from 1 species
GAUGAACGCUGGCGGCGUGCCUAAUACAUGCAAGUCGAGCGAACAGACGAGGAGCUUGCUCCUCUGACGUUAGCGGCGGACGGGUGAGUAACACGUGGAUAACCUACCUAUAAGACUGGGAUAACUUCGGGAAACCGGAGCUAAUACCGGAUAAUAUAUUGAACCGCAUGGUUCAAUAGUGAAAGACGGUUUUGCUGUCACUUAUAGAUGGAUCCGCGCCGCAUUAGCUAGUUGGUAAGGUAACGGCUUACCAAGGCGACGAUGCGUAGCCGACCUGAGAGGGGGAUCGGCCAAACUGGAAAUGAGACAAGGUCCAGAAUCCUAAGGGAGGCAGCAGUAGGGAAUCUUCCGAAAUGGGCGAAAGCCUGAAGGAGCAAAGCCGCGUGAGUGAUGAAGGUCUUCGGAUCGUAAAACUCUGUUAUUAGGGAAGAAAAAAUGUGGAAGUAACUAUGCACGUCUUGACGGUACCUAAUCAGAAAGCCACGGCUAACUACGUG